UACGUAGGGUGCAAGCGUUGUCCGGAAUUAUUGGGCGUAAAGAGCUCGUAGGCGGUCUGUCGCGUCUGCUGUGAAAACUCAGGGCUUAACCCUGAGCUUGCAGUGGGUACGGGCAGACUAGAGUGCGGUAGGGGAGACUGGAAUUCCUGGUGUAGCGGUGGAAUGCGCAGAUAUCAGGAGGAACACCGAUGGCGAAGGCAGGGCUCUGGGCCGCAACUGACGCUGAGGAGCGAAAGCAUGGGGAGCGAACAGG
rnacentral:rRNA from 1 species